rnacentral:rRNA from 1 species
UACGUAGGUGACAAGCGUUGUCCGGAUUUAUUGGGCGUAAAGCGCUCGUAGGCGGUUCGGUAAGUCGGGUGUGAAACCUCCAGGCUCAACCUGGUGACGCCACCCGAUACUGCCGUGACUUGAGUUCGGUAGGGGAGCGGGGAAUUCCUGGUGUAGCGGUGAAAUGCGCAGAUAUCAGGAGGAACACCGGUGGCGAAGGCGCCGCUCUGGGCCGAAACUGACGCUGAGGAGCGAAAGCGUGGGGAGCGAACAGG